AGGUGGUGGUAACUACACAACUUCAUCUUGAAUAUGUGUUAUGCAAAUCAAUAACAUGCUUUGAAUGAAAUGGGCAUGAGUUCUAGCAUUUGGAACUAAAUGAUGAAACGCCUUCUAAGUAGUAACCAAGCAAAGAAUAAUGAGAUCAUGCAACGACUUAGAAAACAAAGAAUGCACAGAUUUUAACUCUCCAAAUAAACGUUUAGGCUCAAGUCUCACAAGGUUGUAGCGUUAGUUGGAGUUCCUUCCUUCAAGCAUGUUACAAAAACUAAUUUUUUUCUUUAUGAUUACAUGUGAAUUCAUAAGUUAUAACCACAACCAAGCAUAAACAAAGAGUAAAUCAAACUUUCAUCCAUGUUAAUCAUUCUCUUUAACAGUCAUGCAAUUACAAACCGAAUCCUCAUCAUUGUGUUGGAAGGUACCCUAAGACACAAUUCUUCAAUUUUUUCUGGGAUUUUCGGAUUUUUAGAACAACAUAUACUAAAACACACCAAAAACAACCUAAAAACACUUAAAAACAGCAAGGAAACAACAUUUGAAAUUAUGGGUGAUAAAACCCUACGAAUUUGUAUCAAAACACUCUAAAAACAGCAAGGAACAACAUUUGAAAUUAUGGGUGAUAAAACCCUACGAAUUUGUAUCAAAACACUUUGGUUACCCCCCCACACUUAAAUCAAACAUUGUCCUCAAUGUUUCAAGCAUAAACUAACACAAAUAACAACAAACAAAGAAAACAGCAACUAAACAAUCUAAAUGGCAGAAAAUGAAAUAAACAACAAAGAGAAGGGUUUAGGAACGCAAAUCUGGAAUUGGAGUGCUCUCUAGAUCUUCCUUUGUCGAAUGCAUGGGUUGCCUCCCAAGUAGCGCUUGCUUUAACGUCGUGCAGCCGGACGAUGCCACAUUGAUCAACCUUCAUGGGAACCCACGGCAU
rnacentral:lncRNA from 1 species